UACGAAGGAUUCGAGCGUUAUCCGGAUUUAUUGGGUUUAAAGGGUGCGUAGGCGGACUAUUAAGUCAGUGGUGAAAGCCCCCAGCCUAACUGGGGAACUGCCAUUGAUACUGAUGGUCUUGAGUACAUUUGAGGUGGGCGGAAUGUAUCAUGUAGCGGUGAAAUGCUUAGAUAUGACACAGAACACCGAUUGCGAAAGCAGCUCACUAAACUGUAACUGACGCUGAGGCACGAAAGCGUGGGGAGCAAACAGG
rnacentral:rRNA from 1 species